GCAUAUCAAUAAGCGGAGGAAAAAGAAACCAACAGGGGAUUGCCUCAGUAACGGCGAGUGAAGCGGCAACAGCUCAAAUUUGAAAUCUGGUCCCCUCUGGGGGCCCGAGUUGUAAUUUGAAGAGGAUGCUUUUGGCGAGGCGCCGUCCGAGUUCCCUGGAACGGGACGCCGCAGAGGGUGAGAGCCCCGUACGGUCGGACGCCGAGCCUCUGUAAAGCUCCUUCGACGAGUCGAGUAGUUUGGGAAUGCUGCUCAAAAUGGGAGGUAAACCCCUUCUAAAGCUAAAUACCGGCCAGAGACCGAUAGCGCACAAGUAGAGUGAUCGAAAGAUGAAAAGCACUUUGAAAAGAGAGUUAAAAAGCACGUGAAAUUGUUAAAAGGGAAGCGCUUGCGACCAGACUUGCGCCCGUCGGAUCAACCGUCGCUUGCGGCGGCGCACUCCGGCGGGCUCAGGCCAGCAUCAGUUCGCUCGGGGGGAGAAAGGCGGCGGGAAUGUAGCUCCUCGGAGUGUUAUAGCCCGCCGUGUAAUACCCUCGGGUGGACUGAGGACCGCGCGUAUGCAAGGAUGCUGGCGUAAUGGUCGUCAGCGACCCGUCUUGAAACACGGACCAAGGAGUCGUCCUAAUAUGCGAGUGUACGGGUGUCAAACCCCUGCGCGUAAUGAAAGUGAACGGAGGUGAGAGCUUCGGCGCAUCAUCGACCGAUCCUGAUGUUAUCGGAUGGAUUUGAGUAAGAGCAUAUUGGGCCGGACCCGAAAGAAGGUGAACUAUGCCCUGUGUAGGGUAAAGCCAGAGGAAACUCUGGUGGAGGCUCGCAGCGGUUCUGACGUGCAAAUCGAUCGUCAAACAUGGGCAUGGGGGCGAAAAGACUAAUCGAACCUUUCUACUAG
rnacentral:rRNA from 1 species